CUGCCAUCUUUGGACUUGGAGCUGUUGGCCUUCUUGCUGUUGAAGAGGCAAUGAUUUAUACUGCAUGAAUAAUUAUUGGGUUUGAUUUAGUUUCCAUUGGAAAAUCUUGGACUCAGUUGUUGAAGGUCUUGGGACUACUGUUAAUGCUACCAAACCAAAACUUGGUUCUUCUACUGCAAGGAAAAACAACUGAAGAUAAUAUCCUGGAAGAGAAAUCAGAAGUUGAUUAGUUUUGGUACUUAAUUUGAGAAAUCAGAAGUUGAUUAGUUUUGGUACUUAAUUUGAGAAAUCAAAAGUUGAUUAGUUUUG